rnacentral:rRNA from 1 species
UAUAGGUUUGCCUGCCGAAGCCCUUAGCCAGCGACUCUAAACAACUUUGCUACAGUCGCCCCUUUUGGGGCUGGCGACGCCAUCAAUCUGUGUCUGGAAGUUCCCUCUAGGGGGGAAUACUACCAGCAGCUCGUCACAUUCGAGUUCACAGGUCAAACGAUUGCGGCCAUUUCGGUGGUUAAGAUAUGAUCGGCCGCCAGCUGUCAUCUAGCUGGCGAGAUUUGCGGAACCUGCGGAAGGAUCAUUA